ensembl:snoRNA
AGCACCCAGAUCUUGGUUUCUAAAUACCAUUCUCUAUUCCCCAUUCUUGGUUAUGCUGUAGUGCAAAAGAAUUCCUGGCUCUUUCUCUUGCACAGCUGACUUGUACUAUUCUGCUGUUGCUAUAUGGAGUUAAGGAACAUGA